UUUUUUUUCGUUCUGGUGAUUUUAACAUUAUCCAGAGACUAACUAGUUUUACAGGAAGCCCCUUAAACUUCAUGCAUAUUUUAACUCACAAACUAAGCAUCACAUGUAAAAACUUAAUAUAUGAAACUUGCUUAGAAUUUUGUCUAGUUUCAUAAUUUUCCAUUUUCAUCCAUGCUUAAAAUGUAUAAAAUGUUGUUUGGUUAAAUUUGCUCCUAUGUUAUGUUAAAAUGCUUUAUUUCAUAACUAAAUAACCGUAGCUCCAAACCUAAUAAACUUUAUAUGUAAAUGAGGUAGAAAAUGACUAGUUUAACAUGGUGGCAUCACUUUGCAUGUUUAACAACUCUAAAAUUGUGUUUAGGGCAGAACAAUACCAAACCUAAUAUAUGCAUAUGGGGAUUUACCGGAAUUGUUGUUUUGUUGUUCCGGCCUCAUUUAAACUUGCCUAGAUUAGAUAGUUUCAUCAUGCUUCACCUCUUGCCAUGCUAACAACAUAUAAUCUUGUUAGGUACAUAAACGAGAGAGAACUAAAUAAGUCAUGUGGUGUUUUCUUCAAUAUGCAACUCCGUUGCAUAAUGAGCUCCCCUUAAUUUGUAGGAUUGUUUGUGCACUUUGCCAUGCCAUGCCUCAUUAAACCGGACAUGCAUCAUACUUGUUUGCGCAUCGUGCCAUGCUUACGUGGUGGUUGUUUACCAUGUUGUUUGCUUCUUUUCGGUAUGCUUCUUCGGGUUGGUACCGAUAACAUCAUGUUUGUGAGGACCCAUUCGACUACGCCCGUUUGUCUUCUUCAUGGACUCGUUCUUCUUCCUUGCGGGAUUUCAGGCAAGAUGACCAUACCCUCGAAAUCACUUCUAUCUUUGCUUGCUAGUUGCUCGCUCUUUUGCUAUGCCUAUGAUGCGAUACCUACCACUUGCUUAUCAUGCCUCCCAUAUUGUUGAACCAAGCCUCUAACCCACCUUGUCCUAGCAAACCGUUGUUUGGCUAUGUUACCGCUUUGCUUAGCCCCUCUUAUAGUGUUGUUAGUUGCAGGUGAAGAUUGGAGUUUAUUCCAUGUUGGAACAUGGAUAUUUUGUUGGGAUAUCACAAUAUCUCUUAUUUAAUUAAUGCAUCUAUAUACUUGGUAAAGGGUGGAAGGCUCGGCCUUAUGCCUGGUGUUUUGUUCCACUCUUGCCGCCCUAGUUUCCGUCAUAUCGGUGUUAUGUUCCUGGAUUUUGUGUUCCUUAUGCAGUUGGGUUAUAAUGGGAACCCCUUGAUAGUUUGCCUUGAAUAAAACUCCUCCAGCAAUGCCCAACCUUGGUUUUACCUUUUGCCACCUAGCCUUUUCUUUCCCUUGGGUUCUGUAGACUCAAGGGUCAUCAUUAUUUUAACCCCCCGGGCUAGUGCUCCUCUGAGUGUUGGUCCAAGCUAGAGCCCCUUGCAGCGCCACCUUGGGGAAACUCGAGGGCUGGUUUUAGUUGUACGGACUGCUCAUCUGAGUGUGCCCUGAGAACGAGAUAUGUGCAGCUCCUAUCGGGAUUUGUCGGCACAUUCGGGCGGUGUUGCUGGACUUGUUUUACCAUUGUCGAGGAUGUCUUGUAACCGGGAUUCCGAGCCUGAUCGGGUCUUCCCGCUAGAAGGAAUAUCCUUCGUUGACUGUGAGAGCUUGUGAUGGGCUAAGUUGGGACACCCCUGUAGGGAUUUGAACUUUCGAAAGCCGUGCCCGCGGUUAUGGGCAUAUGGGAAUUUGUUAACGUCCGGUUGUAGAAAACCUGAAGUUGACCUUAAUUAAAAUGCAUCAACCGCGUGUGUAACCGUGAUGGUCUCUUUUCGGCGGAGUCCGGGAAGUGAACACCGUGUUGGAGUUAUGUUUGACGUAGGUUGUUCUAGGAUCACUUCUUGAUCAUAGUUUCUCGAUCGUGCUUUGCCUUCUCUUCUCGCUCUCAUUUGCGUAUGUUAGCCACCAUAUAUGCUAGUCGCUUGCUGCAGCUCCACCUCAUACUUUUACCUUACCCAUAAGCUUAAAUAGUCUUGAUCGCGAGGGUGUGAGAUUGCCGAGUCCCCGUGACUCACAGAUACUUCCAAAACCAGCUUGCAGGUGCCGAUGAGUCCGUGCAGGUGACGCCACUGAGCUCAGGAGGAUCUCGAUGAAGAUCUUGUCCUUUGUGUUGUUCCGUUUCCAGUUGAUCAGUAGUGGAGCCCAGUUGGGGUCGAUCAGGGGACCUUGUCGCUUUUGGGGUUCUUCUUUUAUUUUGGUUCCCUAGUCGGACCUUGAUUGUAUCUGGAUGGUGUAAUGCUUUAUUCAUGUGUUGUGUGAAGUGGCGAUUGUAAGCCAACUAUGUAUCUUUUCCCUUAUGUAUUACAUGGGUUGUGUGAAGAUUACCUCACUUGCGACAUUGCUUUCAAUGCGGUUAUGCCUCUAAGUCGUGCUUCGACACGUGGGAGAUAUAGCCGCAUCGAGGGCGUUAUAAGUUGGUAAUCAGAGCCUUCCCCGACCUUAGGAGCCCCCUGCUUGAUCAAAUCACUGGCGUUAUUGAGUCUAGAAAUGUUUUGAGUCAUUUAGGAAUUAUAUAUAUCGGAGAGUUAGGACUUCUUUUUACUCCUCAGUCCCUUCGUCGCUCUGGUGAGGCAUCCCGACGUAGAGUUUUGACUCUUCUCUUCUCAAAUUUCACUAAAAAAAUUUAGGAUCACGCGGGUAUCUUGGAAUCGUUCCGAUGGUUUUGUGACGAGAACAUUGUUCUUGGUGCCUCCUGACAUCUAGGGGUUGUGGCAGUGUCCUGGGGAGUUGAGCUCCGAGGUGUUGUCGUCACAAUUUUAUCGUUACAGUUCUGGAAUACCUGAGUUUAAUUCGCCGACAUCGAAAAUCUCAUUUAUGCAGUUGUUGGUGAGAUAACCUCGACGCCACCCAGUACUGGGGCGGGAGUUUGGGAGUAUCGCCAUAACUUGUAUAACGGAUGCUUUUCGAAGGUUGAGGUAAACGAUUUCCGAAGGUUUCUUGGUUAUGUGUUGAAGGAUGAAUACAGCUGGAUGUAGGAUUUGUUAGUUUUGGGUGAGAUAUUAUGCUUCCCCUGUAUCCCCAACACCUGAUUGCAUAACCGGAAAAUUUUGGGAGUUUAUAAGUGGGAAUUCAAGUAGCUCUUAGGAUAUCUUUCCGACAGAUGUAUGAUAUGAAAUUGGGGUUCGACGUAUAGUGGUCCGCCUAUCCACGGUUGGUUUUACAGUGGUCUCGUUGUGUCUUAAAGAGUCCUUGGCUAUGCCGACUCAGGGACGCUUCAUAUGUCAUGUGCACUACCUUGUACAUGAUGGUGAUGUACGAUCGAGCCCGUGUAGGCCCCACCACGAAAACUUUGGACGAAAUCUCUAUCAUAUGUUUGUUCCGGCUUAUUUUGCAAGCCAAUCCUUUGUUUUGUUUUGAGUUGUGGUAUUCGAGUUGCUUCAAUGUCAAGUGUUGAUUCCAUACCUUCCCCAAAUGGUGUUCUCAUACUCCGAUGUGGAUACCAAUCCUUCUUGAUCAUCAAGAUUGUCUUGUCAAUCCUUUUCACCGGCGUGUUUUCUCUUCAAGUGGAUCCGAUCAUUUCAACAUCAGCAAGAUCAAUUAUCAUUUCUUCUCAACGGUGUUCGUUUCAUUCUCAACAGUGUUUUCCCACCCUCCCACCCUUAUUUUCUUCAAGGAACCAGAUUUCUUAUUCAAGUAUCAUUUUAAUGUUGUGAAGUCUUUCCAUCCUUUUCCUUCAAUGUUCUUAUCCAGUGAUUCUCAUGAAGAUACUAAUGGAGCUUCAAGUUCGUCAUUCUUCAUUCUUUUCUUCUCCGGUGGAUUCAAAUCAAGCUUUUUUGUUGAUCAUAUCCUUUUUUCUCUCGUUUCAAAUACCUUCUCAUGCCGGUGCACCUCAUAAUAAUUCACUUCUCGCUAUUCAUUUGUUCGGGAGUGCUGAAGAUAUCUCAGAAGGCUCAUCUUGUCUUUCAAGAUCAGUUCAACCUAUUUCGAGGUUGUUAUCUCAUUCUAGCCAUUUAAAUCUUACCGGUGCUUUCUUUUUUUUGAAUCGUUCUACGGUGUUUCUUUUGAGUGGGCCCUAACCCAUAGGUCUUUUCCCAGGAUCUUACCUGACUCUUCUAAUUUUAUCGGAGCUAUCCUAAAUUCAUUUCAAAUUUGACGUAAGAAUGAUUCAUCAUCUGUCAUAUGUUUUUCUCCAAGAUCUUUCAAAUUCUUUUCAUCUUUGGCUCAACCUCUCCUCUUUUCUUCAUUCCAGAGUGUCUAAAUAAUUCAUGGUGGUGCUUCUCGUCGUCAUUCUCGGAUUUUGAAGACCGAAGAAGAGUUUCUCUUUAAUCUUGCUCCAUUAUCUUCAAGAUUCAUGGUGCUAACCUUAUGCCGUCCUCUCAUAAUUGUUUUCGAUUAUGGGAAUUCUUUUCACCUAUCCGGAGCAAUUCAAGAGUCUUCUCAGUUUGUUAUCUGGAGUCCAUCAAUUCAGGGUUUUUUUCUUUUCAUUCUCAGCUUUCAGUUAUCAUCCUCCAAUUUUACCGGUGCAUCAUUCAAGUAUUUUCUUAUCAGCUCUUGAUCUCUUCGUUAUCUUGUAUCUAAAUUUCCUGAAGUAUCUUUGUUCGUUUUCAAUUUCUUACCGGUGAUUCAUCUCUUUUCUUCGUUCAUUUUAAUUCUUACGGUGGUUCGCUCAAGAUUCUUCUUCCUUCAUUUAUCAUAUCAAUUUAUUCGUUGUUUCAAUUCUUACGGUGGUUCGUUGAAGAUCUUCCGAAGUUUGUGCUAUAUCUAUCUUAAUCCGUUCUACGAGAAUAAGUAAUAUGUCAAAUCCGUUGAUUGUCAUCAAUUCAAUUGGUGAAGGGUAAGCACAAUGUAAUUCUUAUUCUUGUUUCAUCGGGUGAACUAAAUUCCCUAUUCCGAAGGCUCAUCAAAUUCCUGAUUUCAAUUGUUUCAUCUUCUCUUUUUCCCGGAGUUCCAAGUUCUUUCAAUUACCUCGUCACGGAGAUCCAUCUAAAUCAUUACAAAUUUUCACCUUGUGUUUUCAACUUUUUUUCCUUCCGUUUGAUCAUUCCUUUGUUUACCGGAGUUCUUCAUGGAGGCUCGACAUGAUGGUUCAUCAAGGAUUUAUAUUCCUUCUCGAAGUGUUCGUCGAGAUUCUUUUCUAAGGAGCUCAAGUUUUCUUCUUCUUGCAAUCCGGAGUGCAAUUUCUUUCUACCAUAUUAUUGGAGGUGGUAUUAUGUCAUUCUUGAUAAUUUGAGUUCAUGUUUCAUGAUUCACAUAUUGUCAAGGAUGAGAUAUUUUAAAUCCAUCAAUCUCGUCAUUCGAUUUAUCUUGGGUUAUAUUUCACCUAAAGCUUUCCUUUAAGGAUUGUCGCUCUUAUGGUGUUUAUCAAUGAUCCAAGUUCUUCAUUUAUCCUCCCGGUGAGAUAGCUUCUCGUCUCCUUGUUCUUAUCAAUCCAAUUCUUUUUCCCGUGAGUGGCAGGUUGUCACCUCAUAAUUGGAGAUGUAUUCCAUAAGACCAUAUCAAUCUUAUUCCUUUAGUUGUUGGUUUUUUCCAACAACUCCGUUCGACCCUUCUCCUAAGGAUACCUUUUCAAGCUCUUUUGUAGCAGAAGUUGGCAUUUUCUUCUACAUUCUUUUGUCUCAAUUAUCUUUAUUCUAUUCUUUCUCCUGGAGGUCUAGUGAUGUUACUCUUUUCACUCCUCAUCUCGGUUUGUCAAGAUCAUGUUCAAUUUCUUCCAUUUACAGUCGAAGUGCUGUCCAAAUUAUAUCAGUCUUAUUCCUUCUCUAUCUUGUGUAACCGGAGUGUCGUGUCCUCUGCUCAAGUUCUUUUCACCGUAUCAAGUCUUGCAUCACUUCUCAACCGGAGUGCUUCUCGAAGUUGUUCUUCCUUGUCCCUCUUGUCUAACGGAGUGUUUUCAACUUCGUUCAUCUCCGUUGUAUUCUUUUCUCGAAAUGGCUUAACCUUUUUCAAGGUUCCUUAGUUUCACUCAUUGGUCAAAGAAGCAACUUAGUUUUUACCGCUUAUCUUCCUUUUUCCGUUGUCCCUCCGGUGCCAUUCUAGAUCUCGGGACGAGAUCCUCUCGUAGUGGUGGAGUGUUGUAAUGCCCUGAGACCGUUGCGCCAGGUGUCUUCCAGUUAUUCGUCGUUGUUGCAAUGUCAUUUGCUUGCGUGUUGUAUCUUGGCAUGUCAUCAUGUGCAUUGCAUCAUCAUGUUUUCGAAACUUGCAUCCGUCCGGGUUCCCCCAGUUCCGUUCGUUGUCCGUUCUGAGCCCAGACACAAUUGCACGCGCCCGCGGCACGUCCGAGAUAUUAUUUUAUAAGUUGCCGGAAAAUGUUCUCGGAAUGGGAUGAAAGUUGGCGUGUGGUCUUAUUAUAGUGUAGAUAGACCGCCUGUCAAGUUUCAUCGCAUUCGGAGUUCGUUUGACGCCCCAACGAUUAACUAUAGCGACAAUAUAGUCGGUCAAACGUCGGACGUUUUCGGUCUCCGGAAACAGUCGCCGGGCAUCCCUCUCUUCUCUUCUCUCAGCUCGAGACCGUCUACACAGCUCUCUACCUACCGCCAGUUCCAACCUAACCUCUCUCUUCAGCCCGCACCCCCCCCCCCCUCGCGCGCGUCCGAGAGUUGUCCCGAACCCGACCCGGACUGUCGCCACUGCUAUGUCCGGAUCAUCCCCAAACAUGUACAAAACGUCUCCGUUUUUCUUUCUAGGCUUCCUAACCUAGUUUUCUUGAACCGUCCAAUUUUGAUCGGAUGAUCCAAAAUACUCCCUCCUAUCUCCAUUCUAGUAUAUAUAUCAGUCAAACCCUAAAAUUUAGGAGCCUUGUCCCAUCGAUCCCUCUCGGCCGCCGCCACUAAUCCUCUUGGGAUCCCCUCACUCAAUCUCCCUCUAUCCCAUCGCCCAGCCAACCAGAGCUGCACCCCUCCCAGAUCCAUUCCACCCGCAGCCAGCCUCCUUCCCGAGCGCCUCCUCGCCUGAAACCGUCCUCGCUGCCCGGAUCCGUUCCCCAGGUCACUGGACCUCCCUGCAAGCGUCGCCGUAGGCGGCCACAGGCCCAGUGCCAUGCACCGUGGCCUCUCCUAUUGCUACCGCUGCUCUGCUCGGUCAUAGACGAUGAGCACCCGCCCGAGACAGCAGCGUCGUUGACCGUGCGUCUGGGCCGCAUCAGUGCCAAGUCACUCUUGCGCCAGCCCCUGCCUCCUCGACCUCCCGAGCUAGCCGGUCUCCGGCUUCUCGUUCACACAGAGCCGGCGAGAUGUCUAGGUCAUGGCGUCGUCCCUCUCCACCUUCUCUUUCCUUUCCUCCUCGAGCUGCUCUUCCCUGACCUUCCGCCUCGUCUCAUUUCUUUGUCACAGUGAACCAGUGCCAUGGCUACCCGGGGCAUUCUUCUACCGCGAUUCAGCUCCGUCCUCCGCGCUCGCCGAAGCCUACACCGCUGCGCGCCUGCAUCCGCGACGAGGACGACAUCGAUGGCUCCUGCUUCCUCUGCAACGCCCGUCCCCUACGUUUGACCGCGCGCCUCCUGCCUCCCGCACGCAGCAGGAGGUCCGCCGCAUCCGGCCACGCCGCUGGCAAGCCCCUGCUUCCUUGCUCGCCUGUGUCCUCCUCAUCUUAACGCAGAUCCGCGCCUCCAUCCGUUCCCUGCACUUCCUCGUCGCCGGAGUAGAAGCCCCAUCCGUCGUCGUUGCCUGACUGCGACCUCUGCCUUGACCCGCCCCUGUUUCGUCCGAGGAGGAGGACGAAACCGCUUUCGUCCAGUCGCGUUGACCGCACCCCUGCUUUGCCUCUUUCGCAGCGCCUCCUAGGCCCAGCUGCAACCUCCGCCAGCCCAAGCCGGCCUGCGGCACCGAACCAAGUCGGCCCAUCUUCUCCUCUCCUUCGACCCAUCGCUCUCGCAGCCUGCAACCAGCUCCAGCGACUGGGCCGAGGCCCAUGGUGAGCUCCCGAGUGCCCACCAGAUUCACCUGCAUCUUUUUUCCGUUCUGGUGAUUUUAACAUUAUCCAGAGACUAACUAGUUUUACAGGAAGCCCCUUAAACUUCAUGCAUAUUUUAACUCACAAACUAAGCAUCACAUGUAAAAACUUAAUAUAUGAAACUUGCUUAGAAUUUUGUCUAGUUUCAUAAUUUUCCAUUUUCAUCCAUGCUUAAAAUGUAUAAAAUGUUGUUUGGUUAAAUUUGCUCCUAUGUUAUGUUAAAAUGCUUUAUUUCAUAACUAAAUAAUCGUAGCUCCAAACCUAAUAAACUUUAUAUGUAAAUGAGGUAGAAAAUGCCUAGUUUAACAUGGUGGCAUCACUUUGCAUGUUUAACAACUCUAAAAUUAUGUUUAGGGCAGAACAGUACCAAACCUAAUAUAUGCAUAUGGGGAUUUACCGGAAUUGUUGUUUUGUUGUUCCGGCCUCAUUUAAACUUGCCUAGAUUAGAUAGUUUCAUCAUGCUUCACCUCUUGCCAUGCUAACAACAUUUAAUCUUGUUGGGUACAUAAACGAGAGAGAACUAAGUAAGUCAUGUGGUGUUUUCUUCAAUAUGCAACUCCAUUGCAUAAUGAGCUCCCCUUAAUUUGUAGGAUUGUUUGUGCACUUUGCCAUGCCAUGCCUCAUUAAACCGGACAUGCAUCAUACUUGUUUGCGCAUCGUGUCAUGCUUAUGUGGUGGUUGUUUACCAUGUUGUUUGCUUCUUUCCGGUAUGCUUCUUUGGGUUGGUACCGAUAACGUCGCGUUUGUGAGGACCCGUUCGACUACGCCCGUUUGUCUUCUUCAUGGACUCGUUCUUCUUCCUUGCGGGAUUUCAGGCAAGAUGACCAUACCCUCGAAAUCACUUCUAUCUUUGCUUGCUAGUUGCUCGCUCUUUUGCUAUGCCUAUGCUGCGAUACCUACCACUUGCUUAUCAUGCCUCCCAUAUUGUUGAACCAAGCCUCUAACCCACCUUGUCCUAGCAAACCGUUGUUUGGCUAUGUUACCGCUUUGCUUAGCCCCUCUUAUAGCGUUGUUAGUUGCAGGUGAAGAUUGGAGUUUGUUCCAUGUUGGAACAUGGAUAUUUUGUUGGGAUAUCACAAUAUCUCUUAUUUAAUUAAUGCAUCUAUAUACUUGGUAAAGGGUGGAAGGCUCGGCCUUAUGCCUGGUGUUUUGUUCCACUCUUGCCGCCCUAGUUUGCGUUCCUUACGCGGUUGGGUUAUAAUGGGAACCCCUUGACAGUUCGCCUUGAAUAAAACUCCUCCAGCAAUGCCCAGCCUUGGUUUUACCUUUUGCCACCUAGCCUUUUCUUUCCCUUGGGUUCUGUAGACUCAAGGGUCAUCAUUAUUUUAACCCCCCGGGCUAGUGCUCCUCUGAGUGUUGGUCCAAGAUAGAGCCCCUUGCAGCGCCACCUUGGGAAACUCGAGGGCUGGUUUUAGUUGUACGGACUGCUCAUCUGAGUGUGCCCUGAGAAUGAGAUAUGUGCAGCUCCUAUCGGGAUUUGUCGGCACAUUCGGGCGGUGUUGCUGGGCUUGUUUUACCAUUGUCGAGGAUGUUUUGUAACCGGGAUUCCGAGCCUGUUCGGGUCUUCCCGCUAGAAGGAAUAUCCUUCGUUGACUGUGAGAGCUUGUGAUGGGCUAAGUUGGGACACCCCUGUAGGGAUUUGAACUUUUGAAAGCCGUGCCCACGGUUAUGGGCAGAUGGGAAUUUGUUAACGUCUGAUUGUAGAAAACCUGAAGUUGACCUUAAUUAAAAUGCAUCAACCGCAUGUGUAACCGUGAUGGUCUCUUUCCGGCGGAGUCCGGAAAGUGAACACGGUGUUGGAGUUAUGUUUGACGUAGGUUUCUCUAGGAUCACUUCUUGAUCAUAGUUUCUCGAUCGUGCUUUGCCUUCUCUUCUCGCUCUCAUUUGCGUAUGUUAGCCACCAUAUAUGCUAGUCGCUUGCUGCAGCUCCACCUCAUACUUUUACCUUACCCAUAAGCUUAAAUAGUCUUGAUCACGAGGGUGUGAGAUUGCUGAGUCCCCGUGACUCACAGAUACUUCCAAAAUCAGCUUGCAGGUGCCGAUGAGUCCGUGCAGGUGACGCCACUGAGCUCAGUAGGAGCUCGAUGAAGAUCUUGUCCUUUGUGUUGUUCCAUUUCCAGUUGAUCAGUAGUGGAGCCCAGUUGGGGUCGAUCGGGGGACCUUGUCGCUUUUGGGGUUCUUCUUUUAUUUUGGUUCCCUAGUCGGACCUUGAUUGUAUCUGGAUGGUGUAAUGCUUUAUUCAUGUAAUUGUGUGAAGUGGCGAUUGUAAGCCAACUAUAUAUCUUUUCCCUUAUGUAUUACAUGGGUUGUGUGAAGAUUACCUCACUUGCGGCAUUGCUUUCAAUGCGGUUAUGCCUCUAAGUCGUGCUUUGACACGUGGGAGAUAUAGCCGCAUCGAGGGCGUUAUACCCACGGUAAUACUUAUGCUAUCUUGAGAGAAGCCACUAGUGAAACCUAUGGCCUCCGGGUCUAUUCUCCAUCAUACAAGUUUUCCAUCUACUUUAUUUUGCAAUCUUUACUUUCAAACUAUAUCAUAAAAAUACCAAAAAUAUUUAUCUUAUUAUUAUUAUCUUUAUCAGAUCUCACUCUUGCAAGUGGCCGUGAAGGGAUUGACAACCCCUUUAUCGCGUUGGUUGCGAGGUUCUUAUUUGUGUGUGUAGGUACGAGGUGACUCGCGCGUGGUCUCCUACUGUAUUGAUACCUUGGUUCUCAAAAACUAAGGGAAAUACUUACACUACUUUACUGCAUCACCCUUUUCUCUUCAAGGGAAAACCAACGCAGUGCUCAAGAGGUAGCACCCGCUUAAUUUAUACAUGCAAACGUAUGCGCAUGCAGGUAUCACUGGAUCUUGUUAAUUAUUAAAAUUGAUGAAGGAACAGUUGAAGUACUGGACUGACUACUUAAAGAACCUAAAGACUACUCAAUCGUGAAGGGGAUAUGCAACAGGUAAUUUCAAUCAUUAUUGACCUAUAUGUCCACCUCUUCAGUUCGUCAUUUCCUGAUAUUAACUAAUUAAUAACUCCUUUAUUCAUUUUCUUUGCCGGCGGCAGGGCUUGGCAAAAGUUCAUCAAAGCGGUUACAGGCCCAUUCAAAGAAAAGCUGCAUUGGUUUCAACCCAAGGUAACUAAUUUUAAGUACUACUAGCUAGCUACCAUCUCUUUAAUUCUAGUUUCAAUACCAUUAAUUAUCAUGCUUGAUUAAUUAGUAUCUGAUUGAAUUCUAUUCUCGUAAAGGCCAUGAAGCAGGCGUCGGGGACUAGUUUAUGUGCAUACUACAUUUGCUAGAACAUUCGCAUGAUGGCGUCCGAAAGGACCAGAAAUGCUAGACAGCGAUGAGUACGUUUGCCAGAACACUAUUCACAAUUUUUACAUCAUUAUCGGUAUCUAAUCACACAACUAAUACAUGCAUAUUAAUCUCCUUCUUAAAAAUUCUCUGAGGUGCAAGAGAAGCUCCUACCAAUGGAGCGUGUACGAGCAAUUGGAGACGAAAUAGCGGGAUUUUUGCUCGACCAUGUCAUAGAUCCCACAGGAGAAUUCCAUUACCCGCUACUGCCGCUAUCGUAGUAAUGCCUCCAUUUAGGAGAAAUUGUAUAUACCAAAUUGUAUAUAUAUAUACAUGUGUAUGUGUGAAUGAUGGUGCGAGACAUUCGAUGAUAUAUAUAUAUGAUCGGUUCUACGAGAAAUUCUAUUUAUAUAUAUGCAUAACGUGUACAAUAUGUAGUAUCGUAAAAUACCAGCAAAUGAAAAAUAAUUAAAUGGAAAACACAAAAUUAAAGGAAAAAGAAAUCAUGAAUCCAAAACCCCCCAAAACUUUUAGUACCGCUUGGUGUUACCAACAGGUACUAAAGGUCUCCCCGCCCCCAGCGCUGGCUCGUGCCACGUGAUGGUCCUUUAGCGGCGGUUCAUGCUGAAUCAGUACUAAGGAGGGGGGCUUUAGUUCCCUCCCUUUAGUGCCGGUUGCAGGACCGGCAAUAAAGGGCCUUACGAACCGAUCCUAUAGCCUGGUUCUGCAUUAGUGUUACAUUAAAAAUAUAACAUGAAUAAUUUAUUUAUUUUUACAAUGGCUACUUGUAAGUCGCCUAAAAAUAGUUGUUGGGUCAGUCCAUUUUGGAAGGAAGGAAGGAAGAAGUAGUUGUUGGCUCGCUAGAGAAGCCCUAUGGGUCUAUCUUAGGGUGGCAGGCGACCUCAUUAUCUAUCUUAGGGGUGUUAGGGUGGGGCUGUAAGUUUGACGGGAAAAAAAUGGUUCAUGCCCGGGGUUAGAGUUAUGGCGGCGGNNNNNNNNNNNNNNNNNNNNNNNNNNNNNNNNNNNNNNNNNNNNNNNNNNNNNNNNNNNNNNNNNNNNNNNNNNNNNNNNNNNNNNNNNNNNNNNNNNNNNNNNNNNNNNNNNNNNNNNNNNNNNNNNNNNNNNNNNNNNNNNNNNNNNNNNNNNNNNNNNNNNNNNNNNNNNNNNNNNNNNNNNNNNNNNNNNNNNNNNNNNNNNNNNNNNNNNNNNNNNNNNNNNNNNNNNNNNNNNNNNNNNNNNNNNNNNNNNNNNNNNNNNNNNNNNNNNNNNNNNNNNNNNNNNNNNNNNNNNNNNNNNNNNNNNNNNNNNNNNNNNNNNNNNNNNNNNNNNNNNNNNNNNNNNNNNNNNNNNNNNNNNNNNNNNNNNNNNNNNNNNNNNNNNNNNNNNNNNNNNNNNNNNNNNNNNGGCGUUGGCUCGACGGUUCGAAGGAAGAAGACGGCAGUCUGGAGGUUGAAGACGCGCAUCUGGCCCUUACUUUCCAGUAGACCGCUGGAGACCAAUCGACUGACCAAAAUUAAAUUUACAGUCGAUUGGUUUCUAGUUAGUCCCUUAUCUUAUCGUACAAAUGUGAGAAUCUUUGUUAGUAAAUUGAUGUUCACAAAUAUGCAUGAUACUAAAUCUCAAUUUUGUUUAUUAUUUCAAAAUCCAUAGAAGAUAUAUAUUUGCUGUAUAAAUAGAGCUGAGAUCAAAUAUUGCAAUAAUCAGUGCCUUCAAUCUCACGCUGUAUAGCUGCCAUUUGUAACUUGAUUAAGAAGUGUUCAAACUUCAGACUACGUGUAGUGACAAGAAAAAUAUAUAUACCAUGCACGGGACAUCCCGUGCAUGCAUUGGCUGUUGAUCAUGCAUGAUAAAGAUUCGUGUUCAUGCAUGUCAAAUGGGUCACAUGAACCGGUCACUUUUUUCACACUGUUAACCUUUUUUUCAUGUGUUCUCUCUCCUCUCACCAACCCAUGCUUUUCCCAUUGAUUUAAUGUUAGAAUCCAUUUUAGCUUUUGAACUGAAAAUUUGAUUUACAAUUCAUUUGCAUAUUUGUGUUCCUUAAGUUAGGACUUCAAAAUAAGACCACUCUUGAAUAUAUUUGUAAAAAAAAAUCAUAAAUACUUAAAAGUGCAGCUGCACUUUUUCGGGCUCCUGAGCGCAUGCUCAUGGACCGAACGAUGCAACAGACUCAUUCCAUAUUUGAUAAACUGUCCACCCACUUAUUCUAUAUGUGAAAAGAUUCUUCAACUAUAGUGCGUUGAUUUUUCUUCACAUCGUCCGACCAACCCAGCGAUGACGUAACGUGCAUUAAUUCUGGUACAAGAAAAUUCAAAAAACUAUAACUUUCACACUGCAUGUCGGAUUGAUGAUCCGUUUUCACCGUUGAGUUCCUUGUAACGAGCUCUUCAAAACUAGAUCCAUAUGAAUAUGUUUUGAUGAUUUUUUUAAAAGCAACUUUGACGCUAGAUGAGGCAAGCUUAGUGCUAAACAUGAGCAACUUUGAUGCUAAAAGAAUUGCACCAUGUGUAUGUGAAUUCGCCUAGUAGCCUCCUACUUAGUUGUGUGCAAUAGGUAAUAGGUGGUUACAUAGUCCGUUGCCUAUCAUACUGUGAAAGUUGCUCACCCUAAAGUAGUAAGUUGUCUAACAUGGUUUCUUAGUUGUCUACCUCAAAAACCAAGUUGCAUACAUCGCUACGAAGCUUCCUACGGGUGAUCCGCAAUUGCCUAAAAUACUAUGAAAGUUGUCCAUCAGGGGACCUAAGUUGCCAAUGCUACUGAGCGCACGGUUGUUGGCUAGUCAGGUCGCGGGAGUUAGAUGAGAAGUUGCAUAUGGGGUUAUCAGAAGUUUCAUAGAGGGGCGGAUCAGACAAUUGCCUACAAACCUACACAAAUUCUUGAUUUUUUGUCGAGUUGCCUACAAAAAUCAUUGAAAUCUUUAGAUAUAAUGAUAGAAAACACACAUGAGUUGGCUAGUCAGGUCGUGACUAGCUUUUCAAAACUAAACUCCACAUGGAUAUAUUUCUUUAAUAUUUUUAAAAGCAACUUUUAUGCUAGAUGAGGCAACUUUAGUGCUAAACAGAAGCAACUUCGCUCCAUUAAAAAUAACUAAUUAGCAACAAUAAGCAUCUAACUAAUGAUACAAAACAACUUCGAAAAAGUGGUAGAUAAUAUCACAACUUUCCUUCUACAGGAGGCAACUUUAGUGCUAAAGCAGGCAGCUUCACUACUUUCUGUGUCCUAGUUAAUUUUGUUCAAUUUUCUCCUAACUUCCUCACUAGUACCUCUAAGUUGCCUACUGUUCACGCUAGUAUGUCGUUGUUUGUAAAUUGCCUAUAAUACUAUGAAGUCAUCUACCGGUGAUCCUCUUAUGUCUACUAUUGCUAGUUAUGGCAAGCAACAUGAUGGGGAAUCUUGGCCACUUCAGAGUGUUUGUAUGCAAGUUAGAAAACAAUGAUAAAUAACUUCAUAGUAUUGUAGGCAACUAUUUUGAAAAGUUAGGCAAUUGUUCAGCAAUUGUAGGCAACUAAUUAGCAAUAGCAGGCAACUAUACAUCAUUGGCAGGCAAUCUAUAGCAUGUAUAGGCACUUGAACAUCAAGUGUAGGAACUGAUCAUCAACAAUAAGCAAUUGAGAAGUCAUGAUACGCAAGUUGGGAUAAUGUUAGCAAAAUUCACAAAUACACACAGUGCAGUGAAAUUGCUUUGUAUGUAGCACUAAAGUUGCUUAUAUUUUGUGUGUGUUUUCUCAUUUUUUACGCAAACCAACCUAAUAGUCAGUCCUAUUAGGCCGAAAAGAAAGUUGCUUCCCUAUAGCACUAUAGUUGCCUUCAUUGUACCCAAAGUUGCCCUUGAAAAAAAGUUUGACGAAACCUACUUAUAUAGGAUCUAGUUUUGAAGAACUCGUCGUGAGAAACCUGACGUUGAAAAGGAACUGAAUUUCGAUGCUUGAAUCAAAAGUUAUGGUUUUACAACUUUUUGAACCCCUAAAUAAAUGCACGUGGGACAUGAUUUAGGCUGAUUUCAUUGAUAGCCAUGUGCGUACGGGGUUGUGGCCAAACAAUUUUCUUUUCUAGUGUAGACAAUUAGACACAAGGACAUAUAAUUACUAUAUACGGUUGUGCGCUCUAGGCAACAAACGAGCGCCACGGCGCUCUCUAGCCACGUCCUAUUUUUAAGUAAUAUAUUCAAUAUUGGUCUUGUUUUGAAUAUCUCGUCGGAAUAAACACAUUUGUCCAAAUAAAAUGUAAAUCAAACUUUUGUUUCGCAAGAUAUCAGGCAUCUAAUUUGUUUGCAUAGAAAGAAAUAAGAUGACAUAUUUCUGGGAUGGAGUUAUAGAGAGAGGUGGGGCAUGCAUGGACCUGAGAUUUUUUUUUUGAAACUAUGAUGAUUUUUAUAGCAAAUUCGAAAACUAUACACCCUGAUGUAUAAAAAUCAAAAGUAUCACUCCGUCAGCCUACCGUUGGCCGAAGAGGGACUUUUCGGCCAAUUUGGCCGAAGAGGAACUUUUUGGCCAACUAUUGGCCAAAGAGUACUUUUCGGCCAACCGUUGGCCAAAAAGUCCUUCUUUGGCCAACAAUAGGCCGAAAAGUGGUCUUCGGCCAGCACAUGCUCUCCUGUUUUAGAAAAUUCAUAUCAAUUAGGAUUUUUAAUAUUUUAAUUUGAUUCUUUUUGCAUUAGAAUAGAAAUUUUAUGAAGUUUCUGUAGAUAUCAAGUUUGACUAGAUUUGAAACAUUGAAUUUGAAUUUUCAAGAAUUUGCUCAAAUCACUAGAUUGCCUAUAAUUUGAGCUAGGAGUAUUUUUUAUAUGAUUCUUUUAAUUUGAGCUAUUUCUUUUAAUUUUAAUUGCUUUAAAUUGUUUUCUUUAGUUUUUUUGACAUAUUCUUUUAGUUUCUGUUAAGUUAACAGUAGAUAUUUUAUUUGUAGUAUUUUUUGUAUUUUAUUUCUUUUAUCCUUCAUUUUCUUUUCCGCCGUUCUUUCCCUCCAUUUUCUCCCGCUAUUUUCUUUUAUGCCAUUCUUUGCCGCCAUUUUCUCCCGCCAUUCUUUGCCGCCAUUUGCUCCUGACAUUUUCUUUCCCAUCAUUUUAUUUGCCGCCAUUCUCUCCUUCCAUUUUCUCCCGCCAUUCUGUCCCGCCAUUUUCUUUCCCGCCAUUUUCUUUCCCGCCAUUCUCCCCCGCCAUUUUGUUUCCCUCCAUUCUCUCCCGUCAUCUUCUUUCCCGCCAUGUUCUUUCUCGCCAUUUUCUCUUCUCAACUUAUAAAAUGAGCCUCACGGUGUCCAUGACCGUAGAUAACAUUGUCUGACACGGUAUGUGUCUCCUGCGUCGGUGCUGGUGGUGGAGUGUGCAACACUGUUUGAGAGAAGUCAUAAGUGUUUGCAGCUUCGUCAUCAUCAUCGGAGAGUGUUUCACAUUUAUGACUUCUCUUAGAGAGUGUUUCACACUUCACAUGAAGGCAUCAUCGUCAUCCUCCGCCGAUGCAGCACUCUUGCCCUUUGAUGAUGCGGCACUAUUGCCCUUUGACGAUGCGGUACUCUUGCCCUUGGUGCUCAGCAUGAAAAUAUCAUCUUCAUCCUCGCUGUCUUGGGUCAAUAAAUAAGUAUGUUCUGCUGCAGCCUUUAGGAAUGCUUCACCCUUAUGUUGUUGCUUAUUCCAUCUUCCAUGCAACCUGAGAAGUUCUUUUCGUAUCUCCUCAAAGGUCCUUGCAGGCUACCCGCACCUACUUAAUGUGUGAGCCAACUCAUUCAGUAAGGUGUCACUACUGAGGAGUUCGUCCCAUGGAACUAUCCUAUUGUCUAUCGUGAAAUUGGUGUCUAAACUCAAAAGACAUUUGAACAUACUAGGGUGAAAACAACUAUGAUCAAAAGGAUAACCGGACAUGUUGACGAGACUACACUAGCCUCCUUAGUGUGGCGGAAGAGAAUGGCGGGAAAGAAAAUGGCGAGAGAAAAUGGCAGCAGAGAAAAUGACGGGAAAGAAAAUGGAGGGAAAAAGAUUGCGGGAAAGUAUAGUUUUUUCAUGUAUAAAACGGCAAUGGUUGUACAGGAUUUAUAAGGCACUUUUAAAUAUAAACUCCUAUCAAGCUCAAAGUUUUCUAGUAGGAUAAAAGAAAUAAAAUACAAAAAAUACUACAAAUAAAAUAGCUACUGAUAAAUUAACAGAAACUAAAAGAAUAUGUCAAAAAAGCUAAAGAAAACAAUUUAGAGUAAUUAAAAUUAAAAGAAAUAGCACAGAACCUAUAAAACACUAAAACGGAAUUGUUUUCAUAAAAAUCUAAUUUUAAAUAAUCCUAAAAUUUGCCAAUUAAUUACUACUGAUAAACAAAGUCACAAAGAACCACUAGCAAAAAAGAAUCAUCUAAAAAAUACCCCUAGCUCAAAUUAUAGGCAAUCUAGUGAUUUGAGAAAAUUCAUGAAAAUUCAAAUUCAAAUUCUCAAAUCUAGUCAAAAUUGAUAUUUACAGAAACUUCAUAAAAUUUAUAAUCUAAUGCAAAAAGAAUCAAAUUAAAAUACUAAAAAUCCUAAUUGAUAUGAAUUUCUUAAAACAGAAGAGCAGGUGUUGACCGAAGACCACUUUUUGGCCAACGGUUGGCCGAAAAGUUCUCUUUGGCCAAUGGUUCCCUCUUCGGCCAACGGUAGACCGAAAAGUCCCUCUUCAGCCAACAGGAGGCCAACAGGGCGAUACUUUUGAUUUUUAUGCAUUAAGGUGUAUAGUUUCGAAUUUGCUAUAAAAAUUAUCAUAGUUUCAAAAAAAAAAUCCUGGACCUGACACUACAAAUGGUUCUGACACACAACCUGACCACGGCGCAGAACAUGCACGGGAUAACUCGUGCAUGGCAGAUGAUCCGCUCUCGUGUUGUCAAACUGACUAACCUGGAUGGAGCAAGCAAGCUUAACGAAUACGAACAGUAUAAAAAAAUGUGUGAGAGGAAAUACGAACAGUACAAUAACUAGCCAGCGUGCUAGGACUAUGCCGUGGUCCUAGCCGGUGGUGGGACCACCACCUCGACGGCUUCCGGCCGACGAUCCUGCUGGCCAUGCCGAUCAGCAUGCCUAUGGAUAUCCAGCUCUGUGCCGGCCCACACCUCCAUGUCCUCGUCGGUGUCGGUGGUCGCCGGGCUGUGGUGGUGGUGGUGGUGGUGGUGCGCCACGCAGCCGUCCUUGAGGCACCGCACCAGGGCACAGAUGAGCAGCCUCACCGCGACGACGGCUGCGACGACGAUGAGCACAGCGAGGAAGUAGUCCAGCGCCGUCCGGUGGAUGUGCUGGCACUCGGCGACGCCCAUGCACACCAUUGUCAGGCGCAGUUCAUGCAGUCAUGCAUAGCAGCUCGCUGCGAUCGAGCUGGCUAUAUAAGAUAAGAUAAGUUGAGAGAGAGAAGGGAUUCCUUGCUUGGCUUGGGGCAGCGGAGAGGAUGGAGAUGGUUGUGCCGAGCUGUGCCUUCCUUUGGGCUUCUUUUUUAUUUUUGGAAGAUCCUUGGAGCUUUUGGAAUGUGGUUGCAUAUCCGGACGGUGACUGAUCAAUGGCUUUUUCUUCAAAGUGCUCGUGGAGUGGGCUCAGGUGCAGCUUGAGCUGCAAGGGACUGCGACAUUGGCGAUGCAGCUCCAGAGCUGAGCAAUGUAACAAGUACAGUGUCUGAAAGUUGAUCUAAUCCAACCAAGAUUUGCCGGUUUAUAUAUACGAUAAAGCGGUUGCAAUUGUAAGAGCGCGAGAAAACUAGCCUGUUCAUAGGAAGCGAAAUCACUGGAAGGUUUUCUCUGGCAUCUAACAUUCAUCUAUACAGACGCUUAAACUCUGGCAAAGUAUCGAAAACCACCUAGUGAAGGCAAUACCACCACCACCCUAUCCAUACCAUUCCUUGGGCGCUUGUUGAAAAUGACACUUCCACAAAUUGCUAAUCCAGAGUUAUGUGAAAACCUUGAUCAUCAUAUUUGUACCAAAGAAAGCACCGGUGAAGCUUGACGAAUCCCGCAGCACCAAACUUAUGCGCCCGAAGCAACAGAUGAGCCUCUGAGCAAGAGGCAGGCGUUAAUCUCAUUCCAUCAUUUGUAGUAAACUUCAAUUGGGCGGUCAAAACCAGCGACGGAUCCGACCAAUCUGUUGGUAAUCACCUCUGCUGACCUGAAUC
rnacentral:lncRNA from 1 species